rnacentral:rRNA from 1 species
GUCCAGACUCCUACGGGAGGCAGCAGUGGGGAAUAUUGCACAAUGGGGGAAACCCUGAUGCAGCGACGCCGCGUGAGUGAAGAAGUAUCUCGGUAUGUAAAGCUCUAUCAGCAGGGAAGAAAAUGACGGUACCUGACUAAGAAGCCCCGGCUAACUACGUGCCAGCAGCCGCGGUAAUACGUAGGGGGCAAGCGUUAUCCGGAUUUACUGGGUGUAAAGGGAGCGUAGACGGCGCUGCAAGUCCGGAGUGAAAGCCCAUGGCUUAACCAUGGUACUGCUCUGGAAACUGUGGAGCUGGAGUGCGGGAGGGGCAGGCGGAAUUCCUGGUGUAGCGGUGAAAUGCGUAGAUAUCAGGAGGAACACCGGCGGCGAAGGCGGCUUACUGGACAGUAACUGACGUUGAGGCUCGAAAGCGUGGGGAGCAAACAGGAUUAGAUACCCCCGUA